rnacentral:rRNA from 1 species
ACAAGCGGUGGAGCAUGUGGUUUAAUUCGACGCAACGCGAAGAACCUUACCAGGGCUUGACAUCCCCUGACCGCGUAUGAAAGUACGUUUCACCCUCGGGUGACAGGGAGACAGGUGGUGCAUGGUUGUCGUCAGCUCGUGUCGUGAGAUGUUGGGUUAAGUCCCGCAACGAGCGCAACCCCUAUCUCUAGUUGCCAGCGAUUCGGUCGGGGACUCUAGAGAUACUGCCCCGGUUAACGGGGAGAAGGUGGGGAUGACGUCAAGUCCUCAUGGCCCUUAUGCCCAGGGCUACACACGUGCUACAAUGGGCGGUACAAAGGGUAGCGAUGCCGCGAGGCGAAGCCAAUCCCAAAAAGCCGUCCUCAGUUCGGAUUGGAGUCUGCAACUCGACUCCAUGAAGCCGGAAUCGCUAGUAAUCGCGGAUCAGCACGCCGCGGUGAAUACGUUCCCGGGCCUUGU